GUGAUGGUUCAGUCGAACAAUACUCAAAUUUGUGGUGUGAUAGUUCAGUGGUACAGCACUAUACCACUGAGAAAGCAAAAGAAUAUGCAAGAGAUUGAGCCAAAGAUUGGCCAAGAGAUUGAUCAUCAGACUGAGCAGGAGAUUAGGGGAAGUUAUCGUGCAAGAGAUUAAUUACCCGAUUGAACAAGAGAUUGGAUUAUGCAAAUGAGCAAGAAAUUAGUUGAGAGACUGAGCUAGAGAUUAAGAAAUUUAUUGGCAAGUGAUUGAGCAAGACACUGGGUAUAAAAUUUUGCAAGAGACUGAGCCAACAGAUUGAGUAAUAGAAUGAACAAAAGAGUGACAACAAAUUGAGCAAGAGGUUGAGCCAGAGAUUACGGAAAAGAUUAUUCAAGAGAUUAGGUAUGAAAGGGGACAAGCGAGUGAGGGAAAAGAUUAUGCAAAUGACCAUGUAAAAGGUUAUAGAAAAGAUUGUGCAAAAGAUUGGACAAGAGAUUCAGCAAGAGACUAGGUCAGUGGUUGGACAAGACAUUGGGAGAGAGACUGGACUAGAGGUUAGACAAUACACUGGGCGAGAGACUGGACUAGAGGUUGGACAAGACUUUGGGAGAGAGACUGGGUAAGUAUGACCAGAUAGACUUUGAAAACAAUUAACAAAUGUUAAAGUUAUCAAAUCAUCUGAAAUCACUUGCAGUUAUACGAGACAUAUUAAUUAAUAUUAAAUGUUUUGUUGUUUUAUCAGAUUGUUGUUGUGGGAACAACCUCUCACCCUGGGAAAAGCUGUCCGGAUCCCAACUCGUUCGGAAGGGUCUGCACUCAAUACCGCGUUGAGUGUCAUUAUGACCAGGAGUGUCCGAGGGGCCAGAAGUGUUGUCUUGUUGCUGGCUGUGUGCAUAAGUGCAUAGGUGCAUAAGUGCAUAAGGUGUGCAUAAGUGCACAAGGAGUGCAUAAACUAAGGUCAGGAGGAACAAAGGGUACGUUGGAAGAGGGGCAGAAGGGCAUACUGCAGUAGGGCACGCAAUAGAAGCAUUAUGUAAGAGCGUUUUCAUAUUAUCUAUGAAAUGAUUUCAGCCAAUAGAAUUAGGGAAUUAUCAGGUGACAGUGCAAAGCUAUUAUGACUAUAUAGAACUUGGGUCAGAAUAUGGAUUUGGGAUGGGGCGGGGGAAAUGGAAUGGUGCCCAUCCACCUGUACGGUCGGGGAUCGAACGCCGACCCGCAUGACCGUCGCUAUACCGUCCAGCCCAAGUGGUUAGAUCAGCCAGUAGAGGCGCUGUGAAACAUUCCUUAACAAAACCAGCAUUACACACGUCCAGAAUAUUUUCAUCUAUCAAGAGUGCUUGGAACCGGUGCAGGGAAAACACCCUAAGAUGCUUCAGCUCACUUGGACGAGUUGACACCUUGACUCCACAGUUGUCUCCCAGCAACUAUCAACCUCAAGAUGGCCCAACUGACAUGAACGUAUCAAGAUAUGCAAAACAAUGCACAAGACAUGCAGAAAAAACGCACAAUAAAUGGAGAACAGCCCACAAUAAAUGAAAAACAGCACACAAUAAAGGUAGAACAGAACACCACCAUAAGAUAAUCUUUUAAAAAUUUGUGGAGUUUUUAGUUUGUGUAUCAAACCUUUAAUUUUGUAUAAAGAUUAAGCUUGACAUUUUCCUAGUAGUACUAUCACUUACAUUAUAUAUGUAUUAAGAGAGAGCUUGACAUAUUCCUAGCGGUAUUAACUCUUGCAUUAUACUUGUAUUAAUGUUAGGCUUGACGUUUUCAUGGUGUUAUAUUGUCACUUUAGGUUAUGCCUCAGCUUAGAUCAUAACAUUUUGCUUGUAAUAUUUAGAGAUUUCUAUUUAAUUUAAACUGGAAGAUUAGUAACUAUAAAUAGAUUUAAAUGAUGCUGUAUUGUCAGUCCUGUUAACCAAUAUAUUGAAGUUCUGCA